ACAACAAUCGGACCGUCGGUCUACCGAGCAAUAUCAGCCGCUCGGUGGAAGAUCUUCUCUCUGUCGU
rnacentral:pre_miRNA from 1 species